UACGUAGGCGGUUUGUUAAGUUGGGUGUGAAAUCCCUCGGCUCAACCGAGGAACUGCGCCCAAAACUGGCAGACUAGAGGGAGACAGAGGUGAGCGGAACUUAGGGUGGAGCGGUGAAAUGCGUUGAUAUCCUAAGGAACACCAGUAGCGAAAGCGGCUCACUGGGUCUCUUCUGACGCUGAGGUACGAAAGCUGGGGGAGCGAACAGGAUUAGAUACCCUGGUAGUCC
rnacentral:rRNA from 1 species